CAUCACCACCCACCACUACCUCCUCCUCUUCUUCCUCUUCCUCCUCUUCUCCCUCCUCUUCCCUCGCUUCUCUUUUUCCCCUCUUCUCUGUUCUCCCCCGACUGGACUUGGAAAAUGGAUCACAGAAUACUGGGACCGGGAACACAGAUUUCUCUUUAUGACAAGAAACUCAGCCUCCCAGAGGUCCCGAACCACAAGCAAGUGUGGGAUACAUCCCCUCUGCUUCAAGUGGCAGGGACCCCUCGCGGUCACUUCAGAAGAACAGCCAGAGAAGGCCAGGGCCCAGGGCAGAAGCAGGGCAGAUGCAGGCCAGACCAGGGCGCGCUGUCCGGCAGACAGCCAGCUUGGUUUUCCGCAAGCAUCAAGAGACAAGGAAAUCGGGACGAGCGUAGACUUGAAGAACACUCACCUAAGUGAUUACAGUCACUCUCCAGCCCAUGGACUUCUUAAAGAAAGUGUAGUUUUAAGCAAAACAGAGAAGGGCUGUUGUGGAAGACACAGUUCUGGCAAGGCAAAACACUCUCUCAGGAAGUUUAAGUGGCGUGGUAAAAGUAGACGACGAUUUUUAAAAAUGCUUGAUUUCAGGAAACUAAACCAAUUGUGUUUUUAAAAGGCAGACACUGAUUUAUAUGUAUGGUAUGGAUCGCAGGUCUAUUAUAAUUGUUUGGAAACAGCUCCUCCCCUGAAUUGCUUGCUUUGGAAUUAAGUGUAGAACCGCAAUUGAGGCCUCCACCAUCUCUUCCUCGGACCUAUCAGGCUGGCUUCUUUCAUCAAAGCACAGGAGGUACUCCGGACUGUCCAUGUCAACUGUUCUCCACACAAGAGCCCGUGUCGGCUGGUAAUGGGGCUCCACCUGCGACCACUCUCUCCCCUGCGUGGUAGAAGGUGAAACCGAGGAGAUAAAGGUUGGGAAAAAUGGAGAACCCACGAAGAAGCGAAGACCAGCAACAGUACCUCCCAUGCCCACUCAUGCAGCUAACAGACAUGUUCACAGAUGCACAUAUAUACACAAGCUUGAAUGCAUAGUCAUGCAGUUAACUUAGUCUUACA
rnacentral:lncRNA from 1 species